AUGCUAACACCGGGCACACAUUGCAGGCUUAGUGGGCUGGAAAAUAGAAAUGAAUUUGCCGUAAUCCUCCUCCUCCUCCUCCUCCCUCCGCCUGCAGCCCAGGGGAGGCUUGGCGUAAUUGCAGCCCUUUGGAGCCUGCUGGGCACUGGGGCAGGCCCACGCCCCUUAGCCAGCGCCCCUCGACCCUCUCACCCCCUCACUCCUUCUGUCUGUGGGGCCCAGGAACAAGAAUGGGCUUCAGGGUUCAAUAGGGGGAGCAGUGAAACACGAGGUUGUCCACACUCUUACCACUGCGUGCGCACACACACACACACACACCCCUCACACACUUGUGUAGGCACAGAUACGUCUCCACACACUGUGCAGCUGCACGUACACCUUAUGGGGGAACACACACAGGCACGCAGGCCUGAAGACGGUUCCCUCCCGGGCAUGCACACGCGUGCUGGCGCUCCCUCCCUGGUGCAGCGUCAGUGUUUGAUAGCAGAGGAGGACGCGCCUGGGAAGACAGCUGAGCGGCGGCGCUGUUGGACCUGGGCAGGACCGACACGUGGCCUGCCACCCUCCCGGCCCCGUUUGCCGCUGUCUUUUAAAAGGGCGCUUGGACUGAAUGCCUUAGAAAACCCUGCCAGCUCAGAAAGGAGGAGGGGCCACGUCCCAGCGACUGCUCCCGCUUCCGCAGGCUUAGGUGAAGACACGCACACCUGCUGUUGCCCCGCACUCGCCUCCACGGCGCACGCAACAACGCUGCCCUUGUGUGUCCACCUCCUCCCAGGCCCUGCGCACUGCCUCGCACGCUUCUGCGGCUUUGUCCGUGAGACUAGACCAGUUGGCGACUUGGAAGUGUCAGGUGCGGCUCUGAACCAUAGAGCCCCACGGUGUGGCGCCAAGGACCCGGGAAAGGCAACCGAACGGCUCCGCCCCGGCCUGGGGCGCCCUCUGCCGGCCGCUCUGGAACAGACGCGCCGAGAGGCGACCAAGACCAGCGCACGUGACCCUCCGACCUGA
rnacentral:lncRNA from 1 species